rnacentral:sRNA from 1 species
GCCAGGCGUGGUGGUGCAUGCCUGGAAUCCAAGCUACUCAGGAGGCUGGGGUGGGAGGAUCGCAAGUUCAAGGCCAGCAUGGACAACUUAGCAAGACCCUGCCUCAA